AUACCUUUCUCGGCCUUUUGGCUAAGAUCAAGUGUAGUAUCUGUUCUUAUCAGUUUAAUAUCUGAUACGUGGGCCAUCGGCCCACACGAUAUUAACUCAAUUUUUUAAGGGGAGGGGCCAUCACGGUAGCUUGCUAUCGGGCCUCUCGCGCGUCGCCUUGGCGUUACACUACUGCCUUGGCCAGGCGCACCCCAC